rnacentral:rRNA from 1 species
AUUGAACGCUGGCGGCAUGCUUUACACAUGCAAGUCGAACGGCAGCGCGGGCUUCGGCCUGGCGGCGAGUGGCGAACGGGUGAGUAAUACACCGGAACGUGCCCUGCAGUGGGGGAUAGGACGGCGAAAGCCGGAUUAAUAUCGCAUCCGAUCAGAGCGUGAAACAUGGGGAUUUUCUGACCUCGCGCCAUUUGAGUGACCGAUGGCAGAUUCGCUAGUUGGUUGGGUAAAGGCCUACCAAGGCGACCAUCCGUACCUGGUCUGAUAGGAGGACUGGCCACACUGGGACUGAGACACGGCCCAGACUCCUACGGGAGGCGGCAGUGGGGAAUUUUGGACAAUGGGCGAAAGCCUAAUCCAGCAAUGCCGCGUGUGUGAUGAAGGCCUUCGGGUUGUAAAGCACUUUUGGCGGGAACGAAAAGGACUGUGCCAAUACCACGGUUCAGUGACGGUACCCGCAGAAUAAGCACCGGCUAACUACGUG